GACAACACUGCCACCAAGUCGACAUAGGUCGCGAAGACACGGUAGGGUCACGGUACACGCAGCGCUACACAACACAACACAAAUAUAAACAUAAACAAAUUAUAGUAAAUUAGAAACAAGAGAGGAGGAAGUAAACACGACUAAAGGUAGUCACAAAGGAAAACAGAAAACGCGUUGAAAGAUCGAGUUCGGUUCACUUUUACCAAAAAGAGUGUCUUUGGUGAUUUAAAUUGUCGUGCGCAUAGUUCAGGCGUUUAGUUACGGUUUGGUUGGACGAUCACAGGCUGCGGUACGGACGUCAGUACGGAUUGGCCAGCCAGAACAGGACGGGACAGAACGGUCAGGACAGUGCAGACAGGACGGAACGAACAGAUUUAACGGCGGUAGAUUACAGAUUGCGACAGGCAAAACAGAUUGCAAUCUCUCAGCAAGGAGGUGCAGUUUUCUGCUGUUGGGGUAAAGCGUAAGUUGUUGCACACGUUAAAACUUAAAUCUAUUUGUAAAUAAAUAAUAAAAUUACGGAUAGGUUGACAAGGAGUACGAAACCAUUUGGGUACAAAAGGUACAACACGGUACAAAAACAAACCAAUCAAUGUAAGCAAACGUACACCCAAACACAAGACAACAAACUAAAAUUGAAUUUCAAAUACAUUACAGUUUGAUC